rnacentral:rRNA from 1 species
AGGUGAACCUGCGGAAGGAUCAUUGUGGAAAUCGAACGGAAGAAUGACCCGCGAAAUCGUCAUCGCGUACCAGAGAGAGCUCGUGAGCGCCCGACGCUCGUGCGGCUCGCGUCGUGUCGGCGUGGACGUACUCGAGACCCGCGUCGUAUCGACGAACGAACAACGUCAGCACGGAUCGUGCCAAGGAGCUGCAUGGAGGGAAUCGUUGUCCCCCGCCUCCGACUGUCUUCGACGCGGGGACGGGAGGCAGGGGGAUAUACGCGGUCUCUACUCAAGUCUAAAUGACUCUCGGCAACGGAUAUCUCGGCUCUUGCAUCGAUGAAGAACGUAGCGAAAUGCGAUACUUGGUGUGAAUUGCAGAAUCCCGCGAACCAUCAAUUCUUUGAACGCAAGUUGCGCCCGAAGCCAAUCGGCCGAGGGCACGCCUGCCUGGGCGUCGUGAAUCCCCUUGCCCCUCGGCUCCCGUUUUCUUGCACGCGCAUCGACGGGGAUAUGCCGGGGCGCASAGUGUGGUCUCCCGUGGGAUCGGCAUGCACGGCAUGUCGAGGUGCGGUUGGCCGAAAUUCGAGCAUGGCGGUGACGGGCACCGCGGCGUCCGGUGGAUCGAACGAGAUUGGCUGCGCCGCGGUCUCGGCAUGCUGCGGGCUCCGGACUUUGACAAUCCCCGAGUGCGAUCCCAGGUCAGGCGGGACUACCCGCUGAGUUUAAG